UGAUCCUAAAUCAGUUCUUAUAAUCAACUAACAACUAAUUAUAAUUAAAUACUGUCACUAACUUACACCAUAUCAAACUAAUUCCACGAAAUCAAAAACUAUCUCUUAUCUCUCUUUUUUUUUUAUUCAAUGAUUCCAAAUUUCACUAUUCUUCCAUAUCAGUGGAGAGAAUCCAUUCUCCAAUUUAAAAUAAUUCUAACCUUAGAUAAAAUGAUGAGACAAAGUGGGGGGGUAUGUUUACACUAGUAUCUGAAUCAUUAACGGUUAAUUAAUCAUACAAACUCCACUUGUUAUAUACAUCGAAAAGAGAUAGAAACACAAGUAACAAUAAUAAAAAUAAUAAUAAUAAAAUAAAUCCAUAGAAUAGGCAUGCAAUGCAAGACAUCCAUUAGCUGUUAUCAAACAAAGAGACAGCUCAUGCACAAACAUGUCAGAUCACCACACUAAAAAGAAUCAAUUUUUUAGGCAAUUCUUAUAAAUCGUUGAUACUUUUUCCCUUCUUUCUCAUAACAUCCAAACAACAACAAAAGGAAUUUCAGAUUCCUUUAUCCCUUGAGAGGCCCUGAAGCUAAUACUUUCAGAGCAUCUUUUUCUUUGUGGUCCCCACAUACUCAUCUUGUUCUUUGUCUUUCUUCAUUUUUGGAUACCAAAUAAAUUCUCACACAAUAACAAAAUUACUAUGUCACUGUAAUUUUAUCAAACUUACUGCGAAUCCGAUUUAUCAAUCUACCGAUUAUGCAGAGGAUUUGCUCCUGAUGGUAUGCCUCUCUUGUCUUCCAACUCUGCAUUGUUGCUUCCUGAUAUAUUGUUAUGAGAUGAAGCAUAAUUUGUGAAAUUCAACGAACCAUCAGCAAUACAAAGAAAACCAGAAUUGCAGAAGAUUAGUAGAAUCAGCAGCACGGAUAAAACACUCAUUUCACUCAUUUGCAUCACAGAACAUGAAUCAAUUACUUAGAACUAUAUACUAUCCCUUAACAGUGGACAAGAAACACUUCAAAAAAUGAAUGGAAAGAAACAAGAAAUUGUAACAUAUGUUGGAUUUUGGAAUGAAAUAAAGAGAAGAUAACUAACAGGACAGGAUUAUAUUUUUGUCUCUGGAGGCAAAAGGAUGUUCUAAUCCGAAUUGAUUUGCUUUUGCCUUUGAAUUAUGACUUUAUGAAAAAGAAUGACAAAAACAAAACAGUUGUAGGAUUUUAUAUGUAACUCUACCUAUGUUGUCACUACAAUAAAAUAGUAUUUGAGUGAGGCCAAUUACCAAAUUACCAAUAUCUUAUCGGGUCGGUCCAAAGGCCAAGCGAUCCAAGCUAGAGUUUUAGAUUUAAAUAUAUAAUACGACAAAUUAAAUAUAAAAGUUUUUCUAAUUUUUGAUUUAGGUUCAAUAAUCGUUCUCAAC
rnacentral:lncRNA from 1 species